UGCCAGCAGCCGCGGUAAUACGGAGGAGGCAAGCGUUAUCCGGAAUUAUUGGGCGUAAAGAGUCCGUAGGUGGGUAACCAAGUCAGCUGUUAAAUAGUGAAGCUUAACUUCAUAGAGGCGGCUGAAACUGGUUGUCUAGAGUGUGGUAGGGGUAGAGGGAAUUUCCAGUGUAGCGGUGAAAUGCGUAGAUAUUGGAAAGAACACCGGUGGCGAAAGCGCUCUACUGGGCCUGCACUGACACUGAGGGACGAAAGCUAGGGGAGCGAAAGGGAUUAGAUACCCCUGUAGUCCUAGCCGUAAACGAUGGAUACUAGGCGUUGCCAGUAUCGACCCGGGCAGUGUCGGAGCCAACGCGUUAAGUAUCCCGCCUGGGGAGUACGCUCGCAAGAGUGAAACUCAAAGAAAUUGGCGG
rnacentral:rRNA from 1 species